CGAUUGCGGCAAGCCUAACACAUGCAAGUCGAGCGGCAGCGGAAGGAAGCUUGCUUCCUUGCCGGCGAGCGGCGGACGGGUGAGUAAGGUAUGGGGAUCUGGCCGAAGGCGGGGGAUAACCACUGGAAACGGUGGCUAAUACCGCAUAAUCUCUAAGGAGCAAAGUGGGGGACCAUUAUGGCCUCACACCUUCGGAUGAACCCAUAUGAGAUUAGCUAGUAGGUGGGGUAAAGGCUCACCUAGGCGACGAUCUCUAGCUGGUCUGAGAGGAUGAUCAGCCACACUGGGACUGAGACACGGCCCAGACUCCUACGGGAGGCAGCAGUGGGGAAUAUUGCACAAUGGGCGCAAGCCUGAUGCAGCCAUGCCGCGUGUAUGAAGAAGGCCUUCGGGUUGUAAAGUACUUUCAGUCGUGAGGAAGGUGUUAAGGUUAAUAGCCUUAGCAAUUGACGUUAGCGACAGAAGAAGCACCGGCUAACUCCGUGCCAGCAGCCGCGGUAAUACGGAGGGUGCGAGCGUUAAUCGAAAUUACUGGGCGUAAAGGGCACGCAGGCGGUUAAUUAAGUUGGAUGUGAAAUCCCCGGGCUUAACCUGGGAAUGGCAUUCAAGACUGGUUAGCUAGAGUCUUGUAGAGGGGGGUAGAAUUCCAUGUGUAGCGGUGAAAUGCGUAGAGAUGUGGAGGAAUACCGGUGGCGAAGGCGGCUCCCUGGACAAAGACUGACGCUCAUGUGCGAAAGCGUGGGGAGCAAACAGGAUUAGAUACCCUGGUAGUCCACGCUGUAAACGAUGUCGAUUUGGAGGUUGUGGUCUAGAACUGUGGCCUCCGGAGCUAACGCGUUAAAUCGACCGCCUGGGGAGUACGGCCGCAAGGUUAAAACUCAAAUGAAUUGACGGGGGCCCGCACAAGCGGUGGAGCAUGUGGUUUAAUUCGAUGCAACGCGAAGAACCUUACCUACUCUUGACAUCCAGCGAAGCCUUUAGAGAUAGAGGUGUGCCUUCGGGAGCGCUGAGACAGGUGCUGCAUGGCUGUCGUCAGCUCGUGUUGUGAAAUGUUGGGUUAAGUCCCGCAACGAGCGCAACCCUUAUCCUUUGUUGCCAGCGAUUCGGUCGGGAACUCAAAGGAGACUGCCGGUGAUAAACCGGAGGAAGGUGGGGAUGACGUCAAGUCAUCAUGGCCCUUACGAGUAGGGCUACACACGUGCUACAAUGGCGUAUACAGAGAGAGGCGAGCCUGCGAGGGGAAGCGGAACUCAGAAAGUACGUCAAAGUCCGGAUUGGAGUCUGCAACUCGACUCCAUGAAGUCGGAAUCGCUAGUAAUCGCGGAUCAGCAUGUCGCGGUGAAUCCGUUCCCGGGCCUUGUACACACCGCCCGUCACACCAUGGGAGUGGGUUGCAAAAGAAGUAGGUAGCUUAACCUUUUGGAUGGCGCUUACCACUUUGUGAUUCAUGACUGGGGUGAAGUCGUAACAAGGUAACCGUAGGGGAACCUGCGGUUGGAUCACCUCCUUACCUAGAUAGAUGGAAUGUGAGUGUUCACACAGAUUGUCUGAUGAAGAUUGAGCAGAAGGUAUCAUUAGGCUUGUAGCUCAGGUGGUUAGAGCGCACCCCUGAUAAGGGUGAGGUCGGUGGUUCAAGUCCACUCAGGCCUACCAACAUUGCUGAUGGAUGUGGCUGAAAGGUAAGGUUAGCAGGAAGGUGUAAUGAUACGACAAUCUUAAUGGGGCUAUUGCUCAGCUGGGAGAGCGCCUGCUUUGCACGCAGGAGGUCAGCGGUUCGAUCCCGCUUAGCUCCACCAUAUUGCAAGAUAAAAUAUAGAUAAAAAGUUAUUCAGAGCAGGCUAAUCACUAGUGAAUUC
rnacentral:rRNA from 1 species